AUUGAACGCUGGCGGCAGGCCUAACACAUGCAAGUCGAACGCAGUGGGGACGGGUGCGUAACACGUGGGUAACCUCCCAUCAGAGGGGAUAACACUUGGAAACAGGUGCUAAACCGAUACUGAUGGAUGGACCCGCGUGGAAUUAGAUAGUUGGGGAGGUAACGGCUCACCAAGGCCACGAUGCAUAGCCGACCUGAGAGGGUGAUCGGCAACACUGGGACUGAGACACGGCCCAGACUCCUACGGUAGGCAGCAGUGGGGAAUCUUAGGCAAUGGACGAAAGUCUGACCGAGCAACGCCGCGUGAGUGAAGAAGGUUUGCGGAUCGUAAAACUCUGUUGUUAGAGAAGCGGUAUCUAACCAGAAAGCCACGGCUAACUACGUGCCAGCAGCCGCGGUAAUAC
rnacentral:rRNA from 1 species